rnacentral:rRNA from 1 species
AGUGAACGCUGGCGGUAGGCCUAACACAUGCAAGUCGAACGGCAGCACAGGAGAGCUUGCUCUCUGGGUGGCGAGUGGCGGACGGGUGAGGAAUACAUCGGAAUCUACUCUGUCGUGGGGGAUAACGUAGGGAAACUUACGCUAAUACCGCAUACGACCUACGGGUGAAAGCAGGGGACCUUCGGGCCUUGCUCGAUUGAAUGAGCCGAUGUCGGAUUAGCUAGUUGGCGGGGUAAAGGCCCACCAAGGCGACGAUCCGUAGCUGGUCUGAGAGGAUGAUCAGCCUCACUGGAACUGAGACACGGUCCAGACUCCUACGGGAGGCAGCAGUGGGGAAUAUUGGACAAUGGGCGCAAGCCUGAUCCAGCCAUACCGCGUGGGUGAAGAAGGCCUUCGGGUUGUAAAGCCCUUUUGUUGGGAAAGAAAUCCAGCUGGCUAAUACCCGGUUGGGAUGACGGUACCCAAAGAAUAAGCACCGGCUAACUUCGUGCCAGCAGCCGCCGUAA